rnacentral:rRNA from 1 species
CGCUAGCGGCAGGCUUAAUACAUGCAAGGUCGUGGGGCAGCAGGUUUGUAGCAAUACAGAUGCUGGCGACCGGCAAACGGGUGCGGAACACGUACAGAACCUUCCUUGAGCGGGGAAUAGCCCAGAGAAUUUGGAUUAAUACCCCAUAGUAUAAUGAAGUGGCAUCACUUUAUUAUUAAAGAUUUAUCACUCGAAGAUGGCUGUGCGGCUGAUUAGGCAGUUGGCGGGUAAAGGCCCACCAAGCCUGCGAUCAGUAACUGGUGUGAGAGCACGACCAGUCACACGGGCACUGAGACACGGGCCCGACUCCUACGGGAGGCAGCAGUAAGGAAUAUUGGUCAAUGGAGGCAACUCUGAACCAGCCAUGCCGCGUGGAGGAUGAAGGUCCUCUGGAUUGUAAACUUCUUUUAUAUGGGACGAAAAAAGGCUUUUCUAAGUCGUCUGACGGUACCAUAUGAAUAAGCACCGGCUAACUCCGUG